UUUUAAAGUUAGUGAGCACUCUUGUGGCUUUCCUGUCCUUCUGACAGCAAGGAGGUGCCCGGCUGUUGUUCGUUCACGUCACUCUUGCUCUCAUUCCCUUCUUCCUUCCUGCCGAGCACCGAUACCAGACCUAGCCACAAUUCAAACUAUACAGCGGUAUUCAAAUAUUCCAAAGUGUUUUCUACGUAUACAACCGAUUUUUGGAGCGUGGCGAAUCUGGUGACUUGAAAGGCACUGUAUAUCAGUCUUUCAAUCUUAUCUGCAAAGGGCCAGUGUGAUGGCAAGUUUUCUUCCAACAAAUCAGAAGACCAUGUGUUUGAAGACUGAGAUGGACUGAUUUAACAAGUGAAAUCCUUACCAUUCACAGAGAGAGAGAGAGAGAAUGAAAAAGAAUGAAAGAAUGCCUCUAUGUUAGAGGGGCACUGAGAGUGUGUGUGUGCAUGUGCGUUCUUGCGCCAGAAAGAGGUAGAGAGGGAUGGGGGAGGGGAAGAGAGAGGGAGAGAGAGAGAAAGAGAGAGAGAGAGUGAGAGA